rnacentral:rRNA from 1 species
CACGUAGGGCGCAAGCGUUGUCCGGAAUUAUUGGGCGUAAAGAGCUCGUAGGCGGUCUGUUGCGUCUGCUGUGAAAACUCGGGCUUAACCCCGAGCCUGCAGUGGAUACGGGCAGACUAGAGGUAGGUAGGGGAGAAUGGAAUUCCCGGUGUAGCGGUGAAAUGCGCAGAUAUCGGGAGGAACACCGGUGGCGAAGGCGGUUCUCUGGGCCUUACCUGACGCUGAGGAGCGAAAGCGUGGGGAGCGAACAGG